AAGUCCCUUUCUAAAGGAAACGCAGAAGGUCAGCAGCAGAGCCUAAAAUACAAACUCCUAACUCCAAACCUCAGCUUUCCACAAAUCUUACGACCGUCAGGCCACCAGCCCCUCCUUCCUCCCUGGAAAUGGUAAUUUUGUUCAAUGGACAAAGCCAACAAGCCUUUUUAAUUUGUGAUACGAAGAUUAUGCAGCUAAAAAUGAUACCUGGUUCCUGCCACUGUAUUUUCUCUUGCCUCAAAGAUUAUGCUUCAUUAUUGGUUAUUAUUGGUGUUGGAGAAGACUUUUGAGAGUCCCUUGAACUGCAAGGAGAUCAAACCAGUCAAUCUUAAAUGAAAUUAAUCCGGAAUAUUCAUUGGAAGGACUGAUGUUGAAGCUGAAGCUCCAAUACU